GCUAGAAUUAUCAAACUUGGCAUGAUGUUAAUGACUAAUGAGUUUAGAUCCACUCCAUUUCACUUUAGUUCUCAACCGAUAAAUGACACGUGGCAAUUAAAAAAUCUAACGUUUGAGAUUAAAACUCUCAAUAUAAAUUAUCAUUUUUCUUUUACUCUCCCCUUUUCCAUCAUUAGGCUCCCUCUUCUCAGUAUCACAGUGCCGUCGGCCACCACGCCAAUGCUCCAUCGCCUGUGUGUAUAUCCUUGAUCUUGUUCUUUCUCUCAAAUUCACUAUUUUAGAUCUGAUUUUUUUUU
rnacentral:lncRNA from 1 species